AACGAACGCUGGCGGCAUGCCUAACACAUGCAAGUCGAACGAAGUCUUCGGACUUAGUGGCGCACGGGUGCGUAACGCGUGGGAAUCUGCCCUUGGGUACGGAACAACUCAGAGAAGUUUGUGCUAAUACCGUAUAAUGUCUUCGGACCAAAGAUUUAUCGCCCAAGGAUGAGCCCGCGUAAGAUUAGCUAGUUGGUGGGGUAAAAGCCUACCAAGGCGACGAUCUUUAGCUGGUCUGAGAGGAUGAUCAGCCACACUGGGACUGAGACACGGCCCAGACUCCUACGGGAGGCAGCAGUGGGGAAUAUUGGACAAUGGGCGAAAGCCUGAUCCAGCAAUGCCGCGUGAGUGAUGAAGGCCUUAGGGUUGUAAAGCUCUUUUACCAGGGAUGAUAAUGACAGUACCUGGAGAAUAAGCUCCGGCUAACUCCGUGCCAGCCGCCGCCGUAAAAC
rnacentral:rRNA from 1 species